rnacentral:lncRNA from 1 species
CGUCUGUCCACGCGGCACUGCCUGAAAGCCCUCGCCCCAACACAGCCUCCUCCGGCUGGGGCCCAGGCGUUCACAGCAGCAGCGGGUGCAGGGGCUCCCGAUAUGGCCAGAAGAGGCGCGGCUGGGUACAGAGCUGUCCUGUCUGCCAUUCAUCCACAAAGACAGGGACCCUGGGCUGCCGAGGCAGACAGGGCGGUCACCGAGCCCCUGCAGGCCCCAGGCGCCCCUGAAGCUUCCUGGGAGUGGCUGAGAGCCCAGAAUCCACUCAGGACGCCCUGGGUUCAGCAGCCCCUCCUGCAGCGCAGGAACGGGCUCAGGGAGGACACACAGCUGGCCCAGGUGCCCAGGCUCUGCGCCACCCACGGGGCCUGCCACACCCACAAGUGGGGACCUGAGCUGCUCCUGGCGAGAGGAAGGCGGGGCAAGCCGGCAUUGAAAAUCAAGUCAGACAGCAGCAAAGAACAAAGCAAAGCCUCCCUUCAUGGAGGCCCAAACACACUGGGCCAGCACCCCCAGAGUCACGGAUGUCUUCCUUAUGUGCCACUGUCCCCCAGGUUCCGGGCUCAGUAGAUGGUGGCCCUUAUUUGGGGCGGUCACUGUCCUGGGGCCAUAUUUCUGGCCAAAGAAGGAUGUGAGCUGUUUUAAGCUCAGGUUGUGGCAAGCCCUGCUUCAGCCGCAGAGCGAACCCAGAGCCAGGCCCCACACAGACCACCAAGAGAAGCCCGACGGGAAGGCACGCAGAACCACAGGAGCUCCCGGGCGAUGCCACUCCCUGGUCAGGCAAGAGCGGCUGUCACCUCUGCUGUGGGGCUUCCUUCAACAGGAGGCAAGGAGGUUCCCUGGCGAGGUGCCACGCACGAUGAAGAUGAAGAGCCCUGGUCACCCAGAGGUGCAGGGGGCGGAGAGACCCUGUGUGGCACACACAGAAACACAGUGACAAGCUGUACCAUCGCCCGCCUGUCAUGGCCCUCAGUGUCCUUGUUGAGCCGGGCUAAACAUGCCUCACCCAUAAACGUAGAUUCCCCCUGAACAUCCAGUAUGACGGGCACCGUUUCACCGGCACUGGGCAAAUGGGAAGCUCUGGAAGGCCGACAGCCUGGCCGGGACCUGCAUGGGUCAAUUUUGGGCACAGAUCCACAAGUAGACCAAUCCCUGGGCUGCUCUCCCAGGGCCCGCAGCGCAGUGCGGCAGCCCUUCCUACACCGUGGCUCGUGGGGCCCAGAGUGCGGUGGGGGAGGACUGCAGAAAUCAGAGACAGGGGACUGGAAGAGGUGCUGGGAGGCGGGCCCUCGAAGGAGAUCCUCAAGCCAGCUGGGGGUGCCUGGCUUCCUGUUUGAUGCCAUGAUCAUUCCCUCUGCCACAUGUGCCUGUCAUCGCCAUGAGGUCAUCAGAACAGAGCCAGCAAGACACCCGUGAUGCUCCAGAACCGGGAAUAAAUAAAGCUCUCUUUGCUCUAGGUAUCCGACAUUUUAUGAUGUAACAAAAAUGCAUGCACCUCCCCGAAGGGCGGCUCCACCACUUACCAUGUCUGCCCCCUGCUCAAUCCUGAGAGAGGCUCCUCCCUUCCAGGCAGGAUUCGGCACCGGUGUCUACAGCAAGGAGUCCCUUCCUCACCCUCACGGAUGGGGCUCUGGAGCCCACACAGAAAAACCACCCAUCAGUAGCAAGGUGCCCACAUGCGCAGGACCACAUGUGGGGUGCCUGGGAUCACAGGUCUCCUGGACCCUUCCCAAACGGCUCCCGACAGGUGAGGCUCCCCAUCUCACAAGGAGGACACAGCCUCUAGGACGGGCCCUCCCUUGGCCAGCAGAGUUUUGGCAUGAACCCAGGUUGGUGGCUCCAGAAGCUGGGUCUUCUCAUGGCCGCCUCUCCAUGCCAGCGUGGGAGUUUUUCUGGAAUAAAGGAGGCUGCAGACUUCACUCCUCCCAUCAUGGCUGAACUCUCAGCUCACCACAAGCAGGGCUGUGUUCUUUAUCCUUCUUGCAUCUACCCCUGACCUGGAAGUGAGCAGGUCCUCAGUAACAACUGUGAAAUCCUCAGCUGGUGAGCCCAGUGCCGAGCCCCAAGGGAGACAAGCUCCUUACCAAAAGGCGGUUCCCUGUGCAGAAACUUCCUAUCACCCAGAGGCAGUGCUCCUCCAGCCGGGUGAGGGCCUGAGGCUGCAAACGCACACUGGCCAGAUCUUACGUAAAAAGAGGACCCUGGGCCCUUAGCAGCCAGCCCGGGAAGCCACCAUUAUGCCCAGCAAUGGGCCCAGGAAGCCACCAUUGUCCACGUCAAUGGGCUCAGGAAGCUGCCAUUGCCCAAGAAGCCAGCCUGUCAUGAGUCAAGCCUGUGGAAGUCAGACCACUAUGUCUUUUAAACAGUCCAGACUCUAACCUCUAUAACUUUGGCCAGGACUUGAUUACUAGCUGACAGCUUCUCUAAUUUUUAUGCUGAUUUCCAACUUAGGACAACCAGAGAAAAUUUAAUUAUUCAUCUCUAACCAAUCACAUAGGAUGUAAGCUCCUAUCGUAGUCAGCCACGUCCAGCUUGGUGAUACCCACAGCCUCCAGCCAAGGCAUGCAGGAAAUCACCCCUUCCUCCACCACAGUGUUCUUCUACCCCUGUUCCUGCCUUGCGGUCUCAGCCGAGCACGAGUCAUGGUGGCCGACUCCCUUGCAUCUCAGAGUAAAUAGCCUUUGCUUGUUCUCUGUGCCCUUUAUUCUCAUGCAGGGCACUAUCCGAGGUUCCUUCUGGACUCAAGGGCCAAUC